GGGAAAAGCCCAGCACCGAAGCCUGUGGUCUUUUGAUCACUAGGCAAUGUGGUGUUUAGGUCGAAUCGCGGAUGUACUGCCCCACUCCAAGUCCGACACUGAGUACGGUAUUUUAAAUGCGGCCCAUAGAGGGUGAAAGGCCCGUAGGGGUGGGGCUCAGACUCUGACAGUACUUCCCUGAUGAGACCUUGGAGUCGGGUUGUUUGUGAAUGCAGCCCAAAGUGGGUGGUAAACUCCAUCCAAGGCUAAAUACAAGCACGAGUCCGAUAGUAAACAAGUACCGUGAGGGAAAGUUGAAAAGUACUUUGAAGAGAGAGUAAACAGUGCGUGAAACCGCUCAGAGGUAAACGGGUGGAGUUGAACUGCUUGUUCUGUGAAUUCAGCUGGUGACUGUAUUAUGAUCUUGGUUAUAUUGAUUGGACAGCGGGGUCUGUGUAGCAGCAGGUCUUUGCCUUCGGGUGAGGAUGCGCGAUUUACUUAUCAAGUAAUGUGCGCCUCGUUUGUUCUUCGAAUCGGUUGCCAGUGCACUUUCUCAGAGCGCUCAUCACGACCGGCACUGCUGUCUGGCUGUUGUGGUUAAACCGAUUUGGCAUAGUUCUUGUAGCUUUGUCGAAUCGGGAUGGCAGGUAGCUCGUUGGCUUGCUUGUGGUUCGCUGCAGGUGUUUGGCUUUCGGGUGUAAUCAGCUGACCAUGAUGGUUCUGUACAGUGUGUCGGAGACAGCGGCUUGUGGUGUGUGCAUGUGUGGUGGUUUGCAGGCAUCUCUGGGUUUGGUUGCCUUGUUCGCUUGUCAAAGCAAGCCUGGCAAUAGCCUUGAGACGUUCUGUGGACUGCUGCAUGUGUGACAUCUUCACAGGGCCGACAGUCUGUGAUGUUGUGGUAGACUAUCCACCUGACCCGUCUUGAAACACGGACCAAGGAGAGUAACAUGUGCGCGAGUCAUUGGGCGUAACGAAACCCAAAGGCGCAGUGAAAGUAAAGGUUUGGCUUGUCCAGACUGAGGUGAGAUCUCGUUGUUCCUCACACAUGGUACCACCAUGCAAAGAUCAGCG
rnacentral:rRNA from 1 species